rnacentral:rRNA from 1 species
UACAGAGGUCUCAAGCGUUGUUCGGAUUCAUUGGGCGUAAAGGGCGCGUAGGCGGCGGGGUAAGUCGGGUGUGAAAUCUCAGAGCUCAACUCUGAAACUGCACUCGAUACUGCUCUGCUUGAGGACUGGAGAGGAGACUGGAAUUCCGCGUGUAGCAGUGAAAUGCGUAGAUAUGCGGAGGAACACCGAUGGCGAAGGCAAUCCCCUGGGCCUGCACUGACGCUCAUGCACGAAAGCGUGGGGAGCAAACAGG